rnacentral:rRNA from 1 species
CCCUUAGAUGUUCUGGGCCGCACGCGCGCUACACUGAUGCAUUCAACGAGUUUCUGCCUGGUCCGAGAGGAAUGGGUAACCUUUUGAAAGUGCAUCGUGAUAGGGAUAGACUAUUGCAAUUAUUGGUCUUCAACGAGGAAUUCCUAGUAGACGUAGUUCAUCAGACUGCAUCGAUUACGUCCCUGCCCUUUGUACACACCGCCCGUCGCUCCUACCGAUUGAAUGCUCAGGUGAGCCAUUCGGACUUUCAUCAUGCUGGUUUCCAGUUUUGAUGAAGGAAAGUCUUGCGAACCUUAUCAUUUAGAGGAAGGAGAAGUCGUAACA